rnacentral:rRNA from 1 species
AAACAUCGCCUCUUGACUUAUAAUAAGAGGUCCAGCCUGCCCAGUGAAUUUUUAACGGCCGCGGUAUCCUAACCGCGCGAAGGUAGCAUAAUCACUUGUUCUUUAAAUGGGGACUCGUAUCAACGGCAUCACGAGGGUUUUACUGUCUCCUCUUUUUGAUCAGUGAAAUUGAUCUUCCCGUGAAGAAGCGGGAAUAAUCCUAUAAGACGAGAAGACCCCAUGGAGCUUAAAACCAAAUAACAACUUAACCACUUACCCCACUAGAAAUUUAAGCCCUGUUAUAAGGUUUUUGGUUGGGGUGACCGCGGAGUAAAGAACAUCCUCCACGACGGAAAGAACACACUCUUUAUUUAAGAACCACAAUUCUAGAAAUUAGUAUACUAACGUUUACUGACCCGAUAAUCGAUCAACGGACCAAGUUACCCUGGGGAUAACAGCGCAAUCUACUUCAAGAGCUCAUAUCGACAAGUAGGCUUACGACCUCGAUGUUGGAUCAGGGUAUCCCGGUGGUGCAGCCGCUACCGAAGGUUCGUUUGUUCAACGAUUAAAACCCU